AGACCGAUAGCGAACAAGUAGAGUGAUCGAAAGAUGAAAAGCACUUUGAAAAGAGGGUUAAAUAGCACGUGAAAUUGUUGAAAGGGAAGGAUUUAUGACCAGACUUUUUCUAGGGGGAUCAUCCGGUGUUCUCACCGGUGCACUUCCCCUAGUUGAGGCCAGCAUCGGUUUCUGUCGGGGGAUAAAAGCUUCAGGAAUGUGGCUCCCUCCGGGGAGUGUUAUAGCCUGUUGCAUAAUACCCUGACGGGGACCGAGGUUCGCGCAUUGCAAGGAUGCUGGCGUAAUGGUUAUUAAUCACCCGUCUUGAAACACGGACCAAG
rnacentral:rRNA from 6 species